GGUAUACGGGCAUAGGGAAUACUCUAAACUUCACCUUUACAACUUUGGGAAAUGUUCCUUGGCUGCGAACAGCAAAGUACAAGAAAUUGAACAGAAACAAACUGUUGAUCUGACUAACUCCUGAUCAAGUGCUGUCCCGCCCAUUACGACAGCGACAACCCAUCGGAUUCGGGGUAAUUCCCUUAACCCCAAUAUUGUCUAGCCUGUGAAGCGCUAGAUCUCCAAAACAACUUAAGGAAAGCACAGUAUGCAUAACCUCCUCCAAGCACGACAAGUAACUUAAGGGAAAGAUGACAAACGGCACCUUCGUUCCCGAUUUAACAAACGGAACAAAGUCAAAAAAAAA
rnacentral:sRNA from 2 species